rnacentral:rRNA from 1 species
GGUUUGAUCAUGGCUCAGAUUGAACGCUGGCGGGAUGGCUUACACAUGCAAGUCGACCAGCACGGACUUCGGUCUGGUGGCGAGUGGCGAACGGGUGAGUAAUGUAUCGGAACGUGCCUAGUAGCGGGGAUAACUACGCGAAAGCGUAGCUAAUACCGCAUACGCCCUUCGGGUAUGGGGACCUUCGGGCCUCGCACUAUUAGAGCGGCCGAUAUCGGAUUAGCUAGUUGGUGGGGUAACGGCUCACCAAGGCGACGAUCCGUAGCUGGUUUGAGAGGACGACCAGCCACACUGGGACUGAGACACGGCCCAGACUCCUACGGGAGGCAGCAGUGGGGAAUUUUGGACAAUGGGGGAAACCUCAAUCCAGCCAUCCGCGUGUGCGAUGAAGGCCUUCGGGUUGUAAAGCACUUUUGGCAGGAAAGAAACGGCACGGGAUAAUACCCCGUGCAACUGACGGUACCUGCAGAAUAAGCACCGGCUAACUACGCCAGCAGCCGCGGUAAUACGUAGGGUGCAAGCGUUAAUCGGAAUUACUGGGCGUAAAGCGUGCGCAGGCGGUUCGGAAAGAAAGAUGUGAAAUCCCAGAGCUUAACUUUGGAACUGCAUUUUUAACUACCGAGCUAGAGAGUGUGUCAGAGGGAGGUGGAAUUCCGCGUGUAGCAGUGAAAUGCGUAGAUAUGCGGAGGAACACCGAUGGCGAAGGCAGCCUCCUGGGAUAACACUGACGCUCAUGCACGAAAGCGUGGGGAGCAAACAGGAUUAGAUACUCCGGUAGUCUACGCCUAAACGAUGUCAACUAAUGUUGGGCCUCGGGCUCGGUAGCGCAGCUAACGCGUGAAGUUGACCGCCUGGGAGUACGGUCGCAAGAUUAAAACUCAAAGGAAUUGACGGGGACCUCGCACAAGCGGUGGAUGAUGUGGAUUAAUUCGAUGCAACGCGAAAAACCUUACCUACCCUUGACAUGUCUGGAAUCCCGAAGAUUUGGGAGUGCUCGCAAGAGAACCGGAACACAGGUGCUGCAUGGUUGUCGUCAGCUCGUGUCGUGAGAUGUUGGGUUAAGUCCCGCAACGAGCGCAACCCUUGUCAUUAGUUGCUACGAAAGGGCACUCAGCCGAGACUGCCGGGGACAAACUGGAGGAAGGUGGGGAUGACGUCAAGUCCUCAUGGCCCUUAUGGGUAGGGUUUGGCCACGUCAUACAAUGGUCGGGACAGAGGGUCGCCAACCCGCGAGGGGGAGCCAAUCCCAGAAACUCGAUCGUAGUCCGGAUCGCAGUCUGCAACUCGACUGCGAAGUCGGAAUCGCUAGUAAUCGCGGAUCAGCAUGUCGCGUGGUGAAUACGUUCCUGGGUCUUGUACACACCGCCUGUCACACCAUGGGAGUGGGUUUUACCAGAAGUAGUUAGCCUCAAUCGUAAAGGGGAGGGUUGUGAUUACCACGGUAGGAUUCAUGACUGGGGUGAAGUCGUAACAAGGUAG